rnacentral:rRNA from 1 species
UGAAUUGCAGAAUCCCGUGAACCAUCGAGUCUUUGAACGCAAGUUGCGCCUGAAGCCAUUAGGCUAAGGGCACGUCUGCCUGGGCGUCACGCAUCGCGUCACCCCCCUCCAUCUGUGUGGGAUGGGGUG